AUAUCUCUCCGUACGGGAAGGAUGAGAAGCUUCGACUAAGGUUCGAUUCGAGCGCAGCGAGAAAGCGUUGCCGCAGGCAACGAC
rnacentral:sRNA from 1 species